GGAUACUUACGUCUUUGUCUGAUGAUGUCAUAUGCCUUGGACUCAACGAACGUUAUCGUUACACACUGGAUCGGAAAGUUAUGGUGAUCUGCACUGGUUUCAAACCUCUUUAAGUUAAGCUUCAAGUUGGCUUUUGAAAGCAUCGUUGUUUUAGCCUACUUCAUCAACACCAUGAAAAGUGUACUGGAACUUGUGGUCUGCGUGAUUUGUUGAACUAGAAGACCAUGGAAAAAUGGCGGAGAUAUUCCCAAGUCACUUCUGAUUGUGCUGAGAGCUCAACAGUGCCAAACUUUGACAAAUUGACAUUCGCCAGUUGGCCUCAUUCAAUUCCAUUGCUGUCUGCCUAAUAAUGUCAGUGGGCAAUUACGACAAGGUCGAACCGGUGGUCUACUUCCUCAAGGAACCAUGAUGUUUUCAGGGAGGACUGUGGCCGUUUCUCCUCCUCAACCAGGUUUUUCAGGAGAGCACUGGUCACUCUACUAAAGACGUGCAUGGCAGGUUGGACACUGAAAUGGGAGUGGGUUGGCGGUCAUGAAGGAUAAAUGGGUAUGUACGGUUGUUCCUGUGUUAAUGGCCGUUUGCAUCAGGAACGAUAACUAUAAUGAUAAGUGUCCUCACUGAUCAAUUAAGAAAAGUCUCUCCUUGAAUAUGAUAGCUAAAAUUUGAUGGAUUUUGGUUGGCUGUCAGCUUUGUAUUGUUCUCAACAUCGUUUGGAAAGUGAUCCCCAACAACAUCUUUCUUCAUGUUAUCGUUACAGUUUAUGUGUGGAUGUAAGGUGGUCGGCCGUGUGUGGUGGGUCUUGCUGGAGAUGGCCUCUUGCUUUGGUUUAUGGUUAUGACUUAAUGUGGCAGCUGUAAAUGUGUUGUUCCAGGUAUAAACUGAAUGUUACCCGCUCUGUUCUCCCUCCAUUCUCCACUGUGCCUGUUCUGCUUACCUAGGACCAAGGAUGCUGAGGACGAGAAAGGUGUGCGGUAGGAUGAACAGCCUUCAGCUUCAACAUCACCCCUAACACUCCUGGCUCCAUCAAACGUGCUGCAUCCUCCUUAGCUUGUCCCUGUUAUAGGUGUGCAGAGUUUAUAGACAGCUACCCAUCCUUUCCACAUUGUGUAUUUUCUGUUGUUCACACACACUUCAGACAUUAGGAACUGAAAUCUUUUUUGAAAAUAUAAAUGAGUGUCAAACCUCCUUUCUAUGUUGCAGUCCCACCACACCUCCCUUCUGGUAUUUUUGUUGUUUUUUCCCCCUGGUUUUGUUAACACACACUUGUUUCACACAUUGAAAAAUGAAUAAAAUAUCUGAAAUGUAUCAGUCACCUUUUUAUGCUGCAGUCUCACCAGCUAUUUGAAAUAUGAGUUGCAACUGUUUUAUUGAAACGGUUGAUUGCCUAUUGAGUUGCAAGUGUGUUAUGGAAACAGUGGGUGUGUAUUGAUAGAACUUAUUUUUAACAUUUAAGCUGUAAUUUAUCAUUUGUAUAUUUAUUUGACACAUGAUUAUGGCUGAGUCUUACAAUUUUAUCAAUGCUGUGGUGGGAACUUUUAUUUUAUCAAAAUAACUGAAUAGGACACUAACAGAAAUGCCUGAACACUAGAUCUGUAGGCCACAGCAUGCUGACAUA